AGCUUUGCACAGUGGCAGUAUUGUAGCCAAUGAGGUUUAUCUGAGGUGCGAUUAUUGCUAAUUGCAGAA
rnacentral:snRNA from 1 species